rnacentral:rRNA from 1 species
UGCCAGCAGCCGCGGUAAUACGGAGGGGGUUAGCGUCGUUCGGAAUUACUGGGCGUAAAGCGCGCGUAGGCGGAUUGGAAAGUUGAGGGUGAAAUCCCGGAGCUUAACUCCGGAACUGCCUUCAAUACUACUAAUCUUGAGUUCGGAAGAGGUGAGUGGAAUUCCUAGUGUAGAGGUGAAAUUCGUAGAUAUUAGGAAGAACAUCAGUGGCGAAGGCGACUCACUGGGCCAAUACUGACGCUGAGGUUCGAAAGCGUGGGGAGCGAACGGGAUUAGAUA